UUUUUUUUUGUGGUGAAAUAAUAUGCUGCUAGUAGAGAGAAGCUUCAGCACUUCGUUGGAAUUGCCUUUCUUUGUUUAACUACCCAUUGUUAAAACAAUUGUAUGAUAUCCGUGCGGCUCACAUUUCUGAUGAGUGUCAUAAAUUUAGCCAGCAGGAUGCUCCCAGCUUGAGCACCACUGACCCAGUAGCCAGCCAGAGUCGUUACACACUGCCAUUGCUUUGCUGACACCACCGUACCGUGCUGCAAUGUCAAGAGUGAGACACGAUGAAAAAUUAAUGGAACUUAAAAGGCAUUUACCGAGCGACGACAAAUUGGGUUAGUUUUUCCCCGCUCACGUUUAAACGAACGCCAGGAUCGGCGCCAGCUAGAAGCAGCUUCCGAAGGUGCUCCAUUGCCCAGUAGAGGUGAUCCAUUUUUGUGUUUGUAAAAAUCAAACUGUAAAAAAUAAUAAGUUACACGCCCUGAAUUUGCUGGACCCCAAAAUGUUUGGGAAAAUUAUUCCAAUUUCUUGUUAUGGAGAUUUCAAGAACUGAAAGUUUAUUUGUUAAGACACAAAAAUAAAAUACAGUCAUCUUUCCCUUAGAGGGGCCACUCUA